rnacentral:miRNA from 1 species
CACGCGUCACGUGACAUCG